CAGUCGCCGCGGGAAUACGGAGGGUGCAAGCGUUAAUCGGAAUUACUGGGCGUAAGACGCACGCAGGCGGUUUGUUGAGUCAGAUGUGAAAUCCCCGAGCUUAACUUGGGAACUGCAUUUGAAACUGGCAAGCUAGAGUCUUGUAGAGGGGGGUAGAAUUCCAGGUGUAGCGGUGAAAUGCGUAGAGAUCUGGAGGAAUACCGGUGGCGAAGGCGGCCCCCUGGACAAAGACUGACGCUCAGAUGCGAAAGCGUGGGGAGCAAACAGGAUUAGAUACCCCGGUAGUCCCUGUCUCUUAUAC
rnacentral:rRNA from 1 species